rnacentral:rRNA from 1 species
UUAGAACAAAAGUAGUUAUGUUCUUCAUAAUUCAAAGAAUUUGGCGGUAAAUUUUUUUUAGAGGAUUUUGUGUUUUAAUUGAUAAACCACGAUAAUUUAUACCCUCUAUUUAUUUGUAUAUCUCUAUGUUUUGGAAUGUUUCUUUAGAAUGGUUAUUUUCUUUAGAAUUAUUUUAUUUAUUUUAGGUCAAGGUGCAGUUUUUAGAUGGCGGACAUGAAUUACUUUAGUGUGAAUUUGUUUUUUAAUAUUUUUAUUUUUAAUAUGUUAAUUAAUAGGAUUUAAUAGUAAUUUUAGUUAAUUAAUUAGUUUGAAUUUU